UACGUAGGGUGCGAGCGUUGUCCGGAAUUAUUGGGCGUAAAGAGCUCGUAGGCGGUUUGUCGCGUCGGCCGUGAAAACUCACAGCUCAACUGUGGGCGUGCGGGCGAUACGGGCAGACUAGAGUGCGGUAGGGGAGACUGGAAUUCCUGGUGUAGCGGUGAAAUGCGCAGAUAUCAGGAGGAACACCGGUGGCGAAGGCGGGUCUCUGGGCAGUUCCUGACGCUGAGGAGCGAAAGCGAGGGGAGCGAACAGG
rnacentral:rRNA from 1 species